GACGAACGCUGGCGGCGUGCUUAACACAUGCAAGUCGAACGAAGUGGCGAACGGGUGAGUAACGCGUAAUCAACCUGCCCUUCAGAGGGUGACAACAGUUGGAAACGACUGCUAAUACCGCCUACUGACGGAGGGGAUGGCGUCUGAUUAGGUAGUUGGCGGGGUAACGGCCCACACAGGCGAUGAUCAGUAGCCGGUCUGAGAGGAUGAACGGCCACAUUUGGACUGAGACACGGCCCAGACUCCUACGGGAGGCAGCAGUGGGGAAUCUUCCGCAAUGGACGAAAGUCUGACGGAGCAACGCCGCGUGAGUGAGGACGGCCUUCGGGUUGUAAAGCUCUGUUAAUCGGGACGCGGUACCGGAAUAGAAAGCCACGGCUAACUACGUGCCAGCCGCCGCGGUAAUAC
rnacentral:rRNA from 1 species